rnacentral:lncRNA from 1 species
CCGUGAAGUUCAGGGUCUUGCCGAAAUACAUUCAAAGAGUAAAAUACAGAACCCGAACGAAUUCUGGAUCUGGAGCUGUGUGGUGUUAAAUUACAGACCGAUGACAAAGUCCACAUCUUUUCCUAUCCCCUUUCCUGCCAAUCGUGAUCAAAUCCAUCCCAC